UGGCGGACGGGUGAGUAACGCGUGGGUAACCUGCCUUGUACUGGGGGACAACAGUUGGAAACGACUGCUAAUACCGCAUAAGCGCACAGCUUCGCAUGAAGCAGUGUGAAAAACUCCGGUGGUACAAGAUGGACCCGCGUCUGAUUAGCUGGUUGGUGAGGUAACGGCCCACCAAGGCAACGAUUAGUAGCCGGCCUGAGAGGGUGAACGGCCACAUUGGGACUGAGACACGGCCCAA
rnacentral:rRNA from 1 species